GAUGAACGCUGGCGGCGUGCUUAACACAUGCAAGUCGAACGAAGCACCUUGAUUCGAUUCUUCGGAUGAAGAUCUUGGUGACUGAGUGGCGGACGGGUGAGUAACGCGUGGGUAACCUGCCUCAUACAGGGGGAUAACAGUUAGAAAUGACUGCUAAUACCGCAUAAGACCACAGCACCGCAUGGUGCAGGGGUAAAAACUCCGGUGGUAUGAGAUGGACCCGCGUCUGAUUAGGUAGUUGGUGGGGUAACGGCCUACCAAGCCGACGAUCAGUAGCCGACCUGAGAGGGUGACCGGCCACAUUGGGACUGAGACACGGCCCAAACUCCUACGGGAAGCAGCAGUGGGGAAUAUUGCACAAUGGGGGAAACCCUGAUGCAGCGACGCCGCGUGAGCGAUGAAGUAUUUCGGUAUGUAAAGCUCUAUCAGCAGGGAAGAAAAUGACGGUACCUGACGAAGAAGCACCGGCUAAAUACGUG
rnacentral:rRNA from 1 species